GAACUACAUCCCCAGCAGGUUCCAUUUUAAAGAAAGCAUUGCAGGGUACAGAAAAUAAAUCAGUCUAGUCAUAGGAACUGAGGUGUAGUAAUACCAUAAAAGCAAGAGACUUUGCUGGCUACACAUACACAGACACAUGCACAGUCACACGAACAGGCGCACGAGGAACUGUUCCCAGAACACACGAGCAUCCCUCCUGACUCUGAACACCUGUUUGCUUGGAGUACCUGUCUCGCCUGCCCACACACUUCGUCAGAUCUUAUACCAAGUGUCACCCUUGUGAUGGGCUGGCUUUAAUACGUGUAAG
rnacentral:lncRNA from 1 species